rnacentral:lncRNA from 1 species
GCGCAAGCAGUGUAGGUGCAAUGAUUGAAUAACAUGUUCUUGUGGAUCUAUGUGGCAGUAAAGGGGUGGAGCGAGCCAACCAGCGAGCCAACCAGCAAAACUGUGAAGGGCGGAUACUCUGCACCGUGGUCGACUGUCGAGACCUAUGUGUGCAGGUGUAUACAGAGUGACAGCUCAUCCGUUUUCAAAUAUUAUUUUUAAGAUGAUUUAUUGACCAGUUAGGAUAUUAUAACUAAGGAGAGUUUGGGCCAAAAUAGCGGCUGGGCCAUGAUUCGUUCCCGCAGAAACAGGAAGAUAAUUUCUGAAAUGCGUGGCCGCAGCAAUGGUGUUGGGAAAGUAUUUAAUACCAGACAUGGCUAUGUCAUGUUGGCUACUGUAACAAAGGGUACAACGCUCUAAAUCAAAAAGCAUGUGUUUGAUUCAGCUAAGAUGACUCUGUCUCAACUCAAAACAUUUCCAAAUAUCUUUCAACAGUGUGUGAUAUAAUUUAUUUUAUUAAUGUCAUUAUUCUGUGCUUUUGCUUGUAACGCAAACGGAAAACCAUUAUAGCCCUGAUGACCUCAUAGUGAAUAUUGGGAAGAAGACAGCUGGAGCAUCAUCAUCAUCAGAUCAUUUCACAUGUAUUUAAAAUAAGAUGUCACGUUAGAAUUGGAACGCUUCACACUUGCAUAUUAAUGUUACAUCAUGUUACAACAAACUGCUAUUUCGCUUAUUCUAAAUAAACCUUUUAAGCAUCA